ACCUGGGUCCCCCUCAAACUGCCAAGAGAAGUAUAUCGGAGGUGUGUCGCCAGAAACGCGCCACGAUUGGCUGCCCGCGCCGUACUUUUUUCUCUUUCACUUUUUGUCUUAUUUUAUUUUUAUUUUAUUUGUUUUUUUUUCUUCCUUCAUAUUCAUUCAUCUCCAUCCUCGUUUUUUUUUUCUCUCUCUCAGAAUCCGUGACGUAACACCACUUUCAAAGCGUGACACAGAGAGCUGCUGCAGAACUGAAAAGAGAACUUUCGGGGGAGUCUAUAGAUACACGAGGUGGUCCUACUACCUACGGUUAAAUUCUACCUACCUAUCUACCUACCCGUGGGAAAGAUUCACCCGCAGGACCUGAGGCGAGAGCUGUUGCAGCAGCAGCAGCAUCAGCGUCAGCGGCGUCAGCAGCGUCAGCAGCUCUGCGAGAAACGUACGUCUCUCCACGUCGCAUUGAUCUAUGGAAACUUGAAGAGAAGCACACAGCGCACGGUGAUAACGGAUGGAGAUAAGUGGGAAAAAAAUGUUCCACACACGGAUAAUGUAUUGAAGUGAGUAGUACAACGUAAUUUAUUGAAUUCUAUGUACAAUCUGCUAUCGUAUUGUAUAGGUAUAUAUUAGUUACAUAUCUUUGAGCGUGUCUCUUCAAGAAUUUUUAACUAAUCCGCGAAAAAUAAACAAUAAUAGCCAUGCUAAUAACUACCGAAAAUCCUAUUCAAAUGAAAUAG